CCUAAUACCUUCGGAGUUUAGUGGGCACUCUAAUAUUACUUUUAGAUCAAGACUAUACUCUAAGAAAAUGCAUGAAAUGCCACUUUGAUUCUAGACAUAUUAUGUUUCAAUACAAGGUUAAGGGGCCAAUGCUUCAUCUAUCCUUCAAGCCUAAACAACUUCUACU